AUCUCACUACAAUAUAUUCCUAAUUGAUCAAGGAUGAAAACCAAAUUUUUUUUCUUUGUCUUCUUUGUCUGUGCACUCAUUAUUAUCUCUGUUGUAUCAAUUGAAUCAUCUAAAGAUGAGAAACAAAUUGAUACAACAACAGAAUUAAAAUCGAAAAUUGGGAUACAUGUAUAUGUAUAUGAUCCAUGGAAAAAUUGGAAAAGAAAUAAAAAAGGUGGAAAGAAAGGCAAAACUGGUGGACAAGGCUCAAGUGUACCGAACUUAGAAGCUAAUGAAAACGAAGGAGGUGUACAAAGUGGAGGUGAACAAAAUGAAGGUGAAGAAGGAUAAAGAUGGAAAAUGAUGAAAAAAUGAAGGUGAAGAAGAAUAAAGAUGGAAAAUGAUGAAAUAAAAGGUAAGAUAGGUUAUGGAGAUUUAAGUUUUAUGGAGAUAGAAAAGGUGGUGUGGUGUAGGUAGAAAAAUGGGGUAUAUGAGGAACUUUCAUGAAAACAAGAAAUAAGAAAUUUAAAUUUUUUCUCUAUAUUUAUUUGGUAUUUUUUAUGUAUAAGACAAACUAUUUACCGGACCUAAAAUUUAUGUUAAAUUGUAGUUAAAUAGAAAUUAAUAAUAAAUUUUUUCCACUGUUAAA